rnacentral:ncRNA from 1 species
CUCUGGUCUGCGGGCUUAAGGGAUCAGGGCGGAAAGAG